UACAGAGGUCCCGAGCGUUGUUCGGAUUCACUGGGCGUAAAGGGUGCGUAGGUGGCCUGAAAAGUUUGAUGUGAAAGUUCAGGGCUUAACCCUGAAAUGGCAUUGAAUACUGUCGGGCUGGAGGUUUGGAGGGGGGACUGGAAUUCUUGGUGUAGCAGUGAAAUGCGUAGAUAUCAAGAGGAACACCAGUGGCGAAGGCGAGUCCCUGGACAACACCUGACACUGAGGCACGAAAGCUAGGGGAGCAAACAGG
rnacentral:rRNA from 1 species